UACAGAGGUCUCAAGCGUUGUUCGGAUUCAUUGGGCGUAAAGGGUGCGUAGGAGGGCAGGUAAGUCAGUGGUGAAAUCCCCGAGCUUAACUUGGGAACUGCCGUUGAUACUAUCUGUCUUGAAUAUCGUGGAGGUGAGCGGAAUAUGUCAUGUAGCGGUGAAAUGCUUAGAUAUGACAUAGAACACCAAUUGCGAAGGCAGCUCGCUACACGAAUAUUGACUCUGAGGCACGAAAGCAUGGGGAUCAAACAGG
rnacentral:rRNA from 1 species